CAUGCAAGUCGAGGGGCAGCAUUUUAGUUUGCUUGCAAACUGAAGAUGGCGACCGGCGCACGGGUGAGUAACACGUAUCCAACCUGCCGAUAACUCCGGAAUAGCCUUUCGAAAGAAAGAUUAAUACCGGAUAGCAUACGAAUAUCGCAUGAUAUUUUUAUUAAAGAAUUUCGGUUAUCGAUGGGGAUGCGUUCCAUUAGUUUGUUGGCGGGGUAACGGCCCACCAAGACUACGAUGGAUAGGGGUUCUGAGAGGAAGGUCCCCCACAUUGGAACUGAGACACGGUCCAAACUCCUACGGGAGGCAGCAGUGAGGAAUAUUGGUCAAUGGGCGAGAGCCUGAACCAGCCAAGUAGCGUGAAGGAUGAAGGCUCUAUGGGUCGUAAACUUCUUUUAUAUGGGAAUAAAGUUUUCCACGUGUGGAAUUUUGUAUGUACCAUAUGAAUAAGGAUCGGCUAACUCCGUGCCAGCAGCCGCGGUAAUACGGAGGAUCCGAGCGUUAUCCGGAUUUAUUGGGUUUAAAGGGAGCGUAGGUGGAUUGUUAAGUCAGUUGUGAAAGUUUGCGGCUCAACCGUAAAAUUGCAGUUGAAACUGGCAGUCUUGAGUACAGUAGAGGUGGGCGGAAUUCGUGGUGUAGCGGUGAAAUGCUUAGAUAUCACGAAGAACUCCGAUUGCGAAGGCAGCUCACUAGACUGUUACUGACACUGAUGCUCGAAAGUGUGGGUAUCAAACAGGAUUAGAUACCCUGGUAGUCCACACAGUAAACGAUGAAUACUCGCUGUUUGCGAUAUACAGUAAGCGGCCAAGCGAAAGCAUUAAGUAUUCCACCUGGGGAGUACGCCGGCAACGGUGAAACUCAAAGGAAUUGACGGGGGCCCGCACAAGCGGAGGAACAUGUGGUUUAAUUCGAUGAUACGCGAGGAACCUUACCCGG
rnacentral:rRNA from 1 species